CUGAAAUGUAUACAAAGAAUCCUUAGCACAGUGAGGUGGACUCCCUUUGAUACAUACAGAAUCUACAGAAACAGUAUGGAUCCCUUCCAACCAGCUGUAGCCUUUUCAAGGUCACAGAAGAGUCCGAACCUAUCCUCGAGAGCAAAUGGUGCAAGGCAGAAUAUAUCCUGCAAGCUGAGCAAGAAUUCAAGCCUUAGUCAUCCCAAUAGCCAGCUGUGACUGGGAUGUCCUAGAUAUCUGCUCACAAUUGGCUGAG